CGCUGGGAGGUCUAAUCGUCGUCGUUGACGCAACGGGGAAUAGUGGAAUAGGUCGAGGUGUCUGUGGCUUCGUUGGACGAAUCGUUGGUCUCGGAGAAUGUAUGCCAGACACGAUUCCAGCCGCGGGAAUUACGCCAGAUGUGGUACACCACGUGAUAGUAUUUGGCGGUGGUUACCUCGCGACGUCGGGUUUUUCGGACAACGGACAGCACACGCCAGGUCCUGACACCUUCCAGGAGAACCCUCGGCCGUGGUGCAACCAGAUGACACCGACGAGGGUUCCUUCUCUCGAUCAACGAUGACUUCCGUUUGGGAUGCAGACGGAGAUGGCGAGGAACGAUCUGGCGAAGGUGUGGCGACUGGCGUCGUUCUCAGGGGCAGAGUUACACCGCGCACCAACGGCGCUAUACUGUCUGUUACAUUGCGUCCUGGAAAUACCAAAAAUAUUUUUCGAAAUGGUGUAUAUUGCAGAUGGUAAUUCCUUCGGAGGAUAGUUCGAGUUCUCCACGCCUCUGGUCAUGUUGACGAUGUAGCUGCCCACCGUGUUCAAAGCGCCUAAAGUCUCGCUGAUCGCGACCAACGGGCCAAAGCACCACGCUUGACCCUGAAGAGGAAAACAAAACGUCGGAGCGGGAGGAAAGGCGAGACGAGGAGGGACGUAUAAAGUUUGGAAUAACGUGGCCCGGCUUCGAAGGAGGCCUUUUCGGAACGAGUUAACG